GCGGUAGAGGAACAAGUGGGUCAGGUAAGACAAUGAGUGGUCAUUAACCGCCCUGCGUCGAACAGAAAAAAAACCCCAGAGCUGUGUGAUCCUAGUCCACACACGAGGGUUGCUCAAGAACCCGAGGGUGAUUUCUUGAGAGAAGUUCGGCAGGGAUUGGAAUGUUCUUUUUUUUUCGGGCAGAAGCAAGGCAAGGCAGUUGACACCUUGCAGAUGGGCUCAAGUGCCGGCUGAGAGGUGACCUCCAUUUGUGGAAUGACCCCUGCAACAGACAGUUUCAUACAGAUGGCCAGAAUGGCUCAACUUUCUAUCCAUGGGAUGACCGACCCCCGGGCUAAGUGGCAAGUUAGCUAAGCUAUUCUAUUCUUUGUGGUGACCCCCUCCUGUGGAGGCCAUAAAAAGUUCUCACAUAUUGCUGUCAACCAAGCUCCAAUUCAUAUUUUCGGGGAAGAAAGAGACCCCAUUAAAAAUGUGAUCCCACCUGACCUCCACAAUGAAAUGAAAAGAACUCAAUUAGCUGCUUAUAAUAUUGAUCUUUGCUAGCAGUAAAAGGUGAUCCCAAAAGAGAGAAACAGAUGGGGCACCCCCAGGAAAGGUGACCCCGAUUUGGUGGCCACCCUUCUCAAACUGAAAACCGAAAAUAAAGUGAAGUUCUGAAGUGAUCAAAUUACUCUACAAUAAAAACGCUUAAGAUACCCAAAUAUAGCUUUGAAAUGGGCACAAAAUGAGCAAUUAAAUUGUAGUGUAGAAUUCUGAGAUCUCUUAUAUAUUUAGAACUCAUUACUCCUGCUCAAUUUCCCUCUGACAAUGGUCAUCCUUAAACAGAGUCUCUUCUUUUCUUUUCUUCCAGGAUUAACUAUGAAAAUCUUCUUCGUUUCAAGUCCAGAUUUCAAAUACCUUUGAAGCACUCCUCGCCAUAGCCAUCUAGGUUGCAGCUGCAGGUACACAGGGUGCAAGUGGCGCCCUUCGUCGACAUGGUUAUCAAAAGGGAAACCAGGGAGUGGCCACGUGCACACAGCGAGAGGACAAUGGAGCGAACCAAGAAGAAUGAACCUAAAAGUAUAAUAUGACAAUUGUUGGAAAAUUCCGAAAAGGGCAUACCUUUCUACCCUACAAUGGCCAUGUGUACAAACCAGAGACCCCCUGACCAGAGCAGCCAGAGAACCAGAGACAAUCAAGCUGGAGUUAUGCACGAUGGCCAUGCAAUUGGCGUGGCAGCAGCUCCUCCAGCUGCAGCAGCAACAACACCAGUAGUGGCAGUCGUCGCAGUGGCAUCUGCACCCGGCAAAAUCUAUCUUACGGAUGCGGCGGACGCCAGUUUCGUUUUGUUUUGCUUCGUUUCAUUUCGUUUCGUUUCGUUUCGUGACUAUUUUGCAACAGAUUCCUCCUUCUGGUUGUUGUUUAACAGUUUGCAGUAAUUUGACUUGAUUUGUUAAAGCUGACACGCGGAUAUAUAUAGAUAUAUGCAGAAGGGUUCACCCAGGGCCAGUGCACUCGCGGCAAAUAUGUGUAUAUAAAAGGAGUUUCCCUUAAGGAUUAAGUAAUUAUAUAAAAGGAGGUUAACUUUAAGCGCCACUUGUGACAUUUUAAGUGCUUAAAAUUUCAUUCACGAAUCGUUAAUCCCUUCAAAGGAAUACCUGAUUGGCCGUUAUUAUUAUUAAACAAAUUAAUUUAAGCUCCUUGCAUAAUUUAAGCUCUUUAAAUUAUCGGAAAUUAUGUAAAUUCUUGCAUAAACAUCGAGAAAAGCAGAAAUACAAAAUUCUAGGUUAAUAUGUUAAAGAAAUACACUGCCAUACCUCUUACAUACACAUAAAUAUCUCAACAAACUCUGGCAAUUCAAUUAUGAAUCAAUAAAUAUUUAUUAAUAA